rnacentral:rRNA from 1 species
UACGGAGGGUGCGAGCGUUGUCCGGAAUCACUGGGCGUAAAGGGCGCGUAGGCGGCUUGGGAAGUCUGUGGUGAAAGCUCGUGGCUCAACUGCGAGUCGGCCAUAGAUACUCCUAAGCUCGAGUCGACUAGAGGCAGAUGGAAUUCCGGGUGUAGCGGUGGAAUGCGUAGAGAUCAUGAGGAAGACCAGUGGCGAAGGCGGGUCUCUGGACAGUUCCUGACGCUGAGGCACGAAGGUCAGGGGAGCAAACGGG